rnacentral:rRNA from 1 species
GACAGAGGGUGCAAACGUUGUUCGGAAUUACUGGGCGUAAAGCGCGCGCAGGCGGUCUUGCAAGUCAGGGGUGAAAGCCCGGGGCUCAACCUCGGAACUGCCUUUGAGACUGUGAGACUCGAGACCGAGAGAGGAGAGUGGAAUUCCCAGUGUAGAGGUGAAAUUCGUAGAUAUUGGGAAGAACACCAGUGGCGAAGGCGGCUCUCUGGCUCGGUACUGACGCUGAGGCGCGAAAGCGUGGGGAGCAAACAGG